CUGAGCCUCAUCCUGGAGGGGAGUGAGUGAAAAUGGCAGAGCGUUACCAUAUUGAUCAAAGAAACAGUGAUCACAAAAUCUAUAAUCUAUUGCUUGUCCAUCUCCAGCUUUGAAACUCGGUGAGCAUCCUUGGGGAGAGAAAAGUGCUGGCAAAACAAGACUAUUUACACCAUGAGUUUUUUAUGGGGUGCAGUGAAUACUGCCCACAAGGGCCCCCACAAGGGCUCAGACAGUAAAAGCCCAAACUAAAAUUGGAAAACAACUACCCAGCUUAGUAGUCUCUGCACAGUUUCUUCGGCCACAACUGGAAUUUCUUCUUUUUCUUCAUCUGGGUGGCGGUAAAUAAUGGCUUUUGAUUGGCGGAUUAGAGGCUUGAGAAGGGGAUAAUAUAUACAUGUUUGGUAAGUAUAGGAUUGGGAAUUUGGUGACUCAAGUUCUCAUUGAUAAUCUCUGAUUCUGUUCCUGAAACUCUAAUCGUUGCUUCCGCUGAAAAAGGCAAGGGAAUUGACUUCCCAGUGACUCCACUCUGCAAACUCCGAAUUAACGUUCUCAAUUCUAACUCAAGAGUCAAGAAAUUGGAAUAUGCUUGGAAUUUGAGUGGAAUAACUAUCACUUGGUCUUCGGAGGAGUUUGUAUUGUUUGAGGAACAGCUCGCAGCGCUAUUCGUUACUUCUGGGCAGGUUGUUGAUUACCGAAUUCUGCACUCCGUUUUGCGUUUAUCCAGUUCACUCAUGAAGAAGGUGCAAGGGCUGCUUUGAGUCUUGCCAGGGCAAUGCUUGGAUUCUACACUGUGAAGGUGUUGCCUUCUAAGACAGCUAUUGCACUUGUUAACCCAUCAUUCUUGCCUCUGAUGAAGAUGAACAUGAGAUGUGUGCAAGAACCAGAUACUGUAUAAAUAUGGACAAGAAGGCACUUUAUUGGAACAAUUUGUCAUUUGUUGGCACCUAGGUUUUUAUGUGACUGUUAUUUGGCUAGAAUCAGUUUGUGGAGAGGUUUAUCGUCUGAGGCUGCUGGGAGACUAUCACCCCUUUUAUUGAAGAUGUCCAAAAUAACUAUAUUUGUUUUGUUAAUCUAUUGUAUCUGAUGAACUCUGGCUUGGCCCUUCACACCUGCUAUCAGAGGUGUUUGGUAAAAUUCGUCUCAAUACUUCUCAUGGGCUCCUCCUCCUGCUAAUCCUCCUCCUACUAAUCCUCCUCCCUUCCGUAUAGAAAGGAUUAAUCGACGACGACAACAACAACGUGAUUGAUGCCUGUUUGGGAAGGCAGAGCCGAAUACAGUAUGGGUAAUUAAUUCAAUUUCUUGGUAACUGGUUGUGGUUCAAAAUUGAAUCAUGAAUUUCCCCAUUGGUUCGGUUUUGAUUUUUUGAUUUUUUGGUCUUAUUCUGCUUCCCCAGAUGUCUAAUUCUGAUCUUGAUCUGCUAAAAUAUGAUUCGGAAAGACGAGUUACAUUAAAAAAUUUGUUCAUUUACCAGAUAAACUGCAGGUCAUGUGUAGACAAGAAUUGAUGAAUUAUUAGCUUGAUCAGUUCCCACUUAUGUCGAUGUCCAGUCUUAUUCACAUAGCUAGCUAGCUAGGUCGGUAUUGAUUCCAAGUCUCCAGUUUCUGACUGAAGGUAUACUACAGACCACGAACUCACCUACCCAAAAACAAAGCAGAGAAGAAAAUUGAUAAAAGAAGAUCGAUUAUUCGAAUGGGUUCAUUUUUAAGUCAAACCUGAUGUUAAGGAUGAACUGAUAACCAUUGCAAGACUACCAAUCGAGUGCAGACAUUCCCAUCCGCAAUCAAGGCCAACAAUGCAAAUGGUUUCUCAGGUGCUAUCAUCCCCAAAUGCAUAUUGCCCUAAAUGAUCUGUGCAUUACACUUAAAUCAAUCAUUAAGAACUCAUCUGUGCAUUUCUUUCCAUGCGGCUUGUAGUAGUUAAAAUAAAUGAUCCUGUUUAUACAUAAUGUAGGGAUUUAUGUAUUUCUUUUCAACGGUAGCUUUCCAUGUAUAUUGUUUUCAGAAAGAUUAAAGUCUUGCGCUACUCUUGCAUACAAUGUCUACGUUUUGAGGGGUGUUUUUUGGCAGC